UACGAAGGGGGCGAGCGUUGUUCGGAAUUACUGGGCGUAAAGGGCGCGUAGGCGGUGCACCAAGUCAGGCGUGAAAGCCCCGGGCUCAACCUGGGAACGGCGCUUGAGACUGGCGCGCUCGAGUUCGGGAGAGGACGGCGGAAUUCCCAGUGUAGAGGUGAAAUUCGUAGAUAUUGGGAAGAACACCGAUGGCGAAGGCAGCCGUCUGGACCGACACUGACGCUGAGGCGCGAAAGCGUGGGGAGCAAACAGG
rnacentral:rRNA from 1 species